rnacentral:lncRNA from 1 species
GUCUAAUUACCGGAUUAACAUGCCAUGAAGUAGCUGUUGAUUUGAAUUUCAAUAAUAUUCACCUAAGGGAUGAAUACUUCGAUCGUUCAAAAAGAAUUACUAUGAAUAGACUUUCUGAAGUAUUUCACAUGUGUGAAAAUCAAGAAGAUAAAUUCAAGUUAGGAUUAGUUAUGCUCGUCGAAUGCGUUUUAAAACCAAAUGGAAGAUACAUCGAUUUUAGAACCCUUGGAAUGGUUUAACAACUUGAUGAAUUUCUUAUGUAUCCGUGGGGACGUAAAGCAUACUUUGUUUUACUAAAUUCAUUGUAAGAAUCACACCUCGAAAGAAUACGAAGGAUGCAACAAAAUGACCAAACGGAUUGUAAAUAUUCGUUACAUGGUUAUCCAUUUGCAUUCCAGGUAUUUUUCUUUUAUUUUUUUCCCUAUUAAAUAUAAUUUAAUCAUAUAAAAACUUUAAUAUUUCUUUUAUUUUUAUUUCAGUAUUGGAUUUCUGAAUCUUUUCCUCAAAUCGGGUGACAAUUCGGGCGUCGUAUUCGUACACGCUUCCAGGUAUGAUCAUAUCAAUUUACAAUUAAAUAUGUAUUUCAUUAUUUAUAAAUAAAUUUCAAAUCAUAAAUCUAAUAUUUUAUUACAAUUAUAGAUCACAGUAAUUGCAGUAUUAAAUCUUACUGAAGAAGAAUUAGAAACAUUCUGGUAUACAAAUAUUUCACUACCAGCUGACAACCAACAUUGUAUACUAAAUAGCAUUGUCAAUGGUGAAUCCAACAAUAUAACAGAACAAAUUCCAG